rnacentral:rRNA from 1 species
GAUGAACGCUGGCGGCGUGCCUAAUACAUGCAAGUCGAGCGGAAGGACGAGAAGCUUGCUUCUCUGAUGUUAGCGGCGGACGGGUGAGUAACACGUGGAUACCCUACCUAUAAUACUGGGAUAAACCCGGGAAACCGGCGCUAAUACAGUAUAAUAUUUUGAACCUCAUGGUUCAAAAGUGAAAGACGGUCUUGCUGUCACUUAUAGCUGGAUCCGCGCUGCUUUAGCUAGUUGGUAAGGUAACGGCUUACCAACGCAACGAAGCAUAACCGACCUGAGAGGGGGAUCGGCCACCCUAGAACUGAGACACGGCCCAGACUCCUACGGGAGGCAGCAGAAGGGAAUCUUCCGCAAUGGGCGAAAGCCUGACGUAGCAACGCCGAGUGAGUUAUAAAGGGCCUCGGAUAGUAAAACUCUGUUACUAGUGAACAACAUAUGUGUAAGUAACUGGGCACAUCUUGAAGGUACCUAAUCAGAAAGCAACGGCUAACUACGUG